rnacentral:misc_RNA from 1 species
GAUGAAGAACGUAGCGAAAUGCGAUACAUAAUGUGAAUUGCAGAAUUCAGUGAAUCAUCGAGUCUUUGAACGCACAUUGCGCCCCCUGGUAUUCCGGGGGGCAUGCCUGUCCGAGCGUCAUUGCUCCCCUCAAGCACGGCUUGUGUGUUGGGCCUCCGUCCUCCUCCCGGGGGACGGGCCCGAAAGGCAGCGGCGGCACCGCGUCCGGUCCUCGAGCGUAUGGGGCUUCGUCACCCGCUCUUGUAGGCCCGGCCGGCGCUUGCCGACACAUCAAUCUUUUUUCCAGGUUGACCUCGGAUCAGGUAGGGAUACCCGCUGAACUUAAGCAUAUCAAUAAGCGGAGGA